GGAGUAGGUUGGGCAGUCGCCGCCGUUUUCGGACGGGGGAGGAAAGUCCGGGCUCCACAGGGCAUGGCGCCAGGUAACGCCUGGGAGGCGCGAGCCUACGGAAAGUGCCACAGAAAAUAUACCGCCUAAGCGCGCAAGCGCCGGUAAGGGUGAAAUGGUGCGGUAAGAGCGCACCGCGUCGGUGGCAACAUCGGCGGCAGGGAAAACCCCGCCAGGAGCAAGACCAAAUAGGGGGACACGCGGUUCACCCCGCACGUGUGGCCCACACGGUUCCCGGGUAGGUUGCUGGAGGUGUACGGUGACGUGCAUCCUAGAGGAAUGACUGUCCUCGACAGAACCCGGCUUAUAGACUUACUCCCUCU
rnacentral:RNase_P_RNA from 1 species